GCCUGGGUGGCUCAGUCAGUUAAGUGCCUGACUUCAGCUCAAGUCAUGAACUCAUGGUUUGUGGGUUCAAGCCCCAUGUCAGGCU
rnacentral:tRNA from 1 species